rnacentral:rRNA from 1 species
CGGGGUGCAGCAGGCGCGAAAACUUUACAAUGCCGGCAACGGCGAUAAGGGAACCUCGAGUGCCAGGUUACAAAUCUGGCUGUCGUGAUGCCUAAAAAGCAUUGCAUAGCAAGGGCCGGGCGAGACCGGUGCCAGCCGCCGCGGUAACACCGGCGGCUCGAGUGGUAACCGUUAUUAUUGGGUCUAAAGGGUCUGUAGCCGGCCGGGUAAGUCUCUUGGGAAAUCUGGCAGCUUAACUGUCAGGCUUUCAGGAGAUACUGCCUGGCUCGAGGCCGGGAGAGGUGAGAGGUACUUCAGGGGUAGGGGUGAAAUCUUGUAAUCCUUGAAGGACCACCAGUGGCGAAGGCGUCUCACCAGAACGGACCUGACGGCAAGGGACGAAAGCUAGGGGCACGAACCGGAUUAGAUACCCGGGUAGUCCUAGCCGUAAACGAUACUCGCUAGGUGUCGGCCACGGUGCGACCGUGGUCGGUGCCGUAGGGAAGCCGUGAAGCGAGCCACCUGGGAAGUACGGCCGCAAGGCUGAAACUUAAAGGAAUUGGCGGGGGAGCACAAGGGCAAAU